UACGUGAGGGGCUAGCGUUGUCCGGAAUCAUUGGGCGUAAAGCGCGUGUAGGCGGCCCGGUAAGUCCGCUGUGAAAGUCGGGGGCUCAACCCUCGGAUGCCGGUGGAUACUGUCGGGCUCGAGUACGGAAGAGGCGAGUGGAAUUCCUGGUGUAGCGGUGAAAUGCGCAGAUAUCAGGAGGAACACCAAUUGCGAAGGCAGCUCGCUGGGACGUUACUGACGCUGAGACGCGAAAGCGUGGGGAGCAAACGGG
rnacentral:rRNA from 1 species